rnacentral:rRNA from 1 species
CCUACGGGUGGCAGCAGUGGGGGAUAUUGCACAAUGGGGGAAACCCUGAUGCAGCGACGCCGCGUGUGGGAAGACGGUCCUCUGGAUUGUAAACCACUUUCCCCAGGGACGAAGAUGACGGUACCUGGGGAGGAAGCUCCGGCUAACUACGUGCCAGCAGCCGCGGUAAUACGUAGGGAGCGAGCGUUGUCCGGAAUUACUGGGUGUAAAGGGCGCGUAGGCGGGACUGCAAGGUGGGUGUAAAAUCUACGGGCUCAACCGGUAGCCGCACUCAAAACUGCAGUUCUUGAGUGAAGUAGAGGCAGGCGGAAUUCCUAGUGUAGCGGUGAAAUGCGUAGAUAUUAGGAGGAACACCAGUGGCGAAGGCGGCCUGCUGGGCUUUUACUGACGCUGAGGCUCGAAAGUGUGGGGAGCAAACAGGAUUAGAUACCCCAGUAGUC